CGACGCCCCCGCAGAAUCGCUGGCCGAGGUCCGGGGGCGGAUGGGGGGGCGCGGGGAGGACCCCGCAGAAUCGCUGGCCGCGCGUGCUGGAGGAAAACAGAACUACAGGGUAAAGUUCAAGUAAGAAAUCCUGCUCAGUUAAGAAACCUCAAGUUCAUCUCUCCUAACCCCCACCAUGCUGGCCUCACUAUGGAGUUGGGUGUCCACUUCUUGGCUGGCUCUAUUGUAGCAGGUAAGCAAGACCAGCAUUUGUGGUAAUAACCACAAUUUGUGGUAUAAGCCACCUUGUUAAGAGGGAUCUUUAUGGCUGUAAGGUAGUUCAUUCUGCCAAUAUGUUCUUGAAUUAUCCUGUUAAAUAUGCAUUCUUACAGAGCUAUGAAGGGUAUUGUUCUCCCAGCUGUCUUCCAUUUGCUCCAUCAAAUUCUCAGGAUCCCCUCACAGGGUAGCUAUGAAGUGA
rnacentral:lncRNA from 1 species